UACAGAGGGGGCAAGCGUUAUUCGGAAUUAUUGGGCGUAAAGGGCGCGUAGGCGGCCUUUCAAGUCUCUCGUGAAAUCCCUCGGCUUAACCGAGGACGUGCGGGAGAUACUGUCAGGCUUGAGUCCGGAAGAGGGUGGUGGAAUUCCCAGUGUAGCGGUGAAAUGCGUAGAUAUUGGGAGGAACACCGGUGGCGAAGGCGGCCACCUGGGCCGGAACUGACGCUGAGGCGCGAAAGCGUGGGUAGCAAACGG
rnacentral:rRNA from 1 species